rfam:Roseomonas sp. M3 M3_S294_L001_R1_001_(paired)_contig_70, whole genome shotgun sequence.
GAUGGCGUAGCUCAGCGGUAGAGCGGCCGGCUCUGAUCCCGGCUGGACGGAGGUUCGAGCCCUUCCGCCAUCC